UAGGGAAUCUUCGGCAAUGGACGAAAGUCUGACCGAGCAACGCCGCGUGAGUGAAGAAGGUUUUCGGAUCGUAAAACUCUGUUGUUAGAGAAGAACAAGGACGUUAGUAACUGAACGUCCCCUGACGGUAUCUAACCAGAAAGCCACGGCUAACUACGUGCCAGCAGCCGCGGUAAUACGUAGGUGGCAAGCGUUGUCCGGAUUUAUUGGGCGUAAAGCGAGCGCAGGCGGUUUCUUAAGUCUGAUGUGAAAGCCCCCGGCUCAACCGGGGAGGGUCAUUGGAAACUGGGAGACUUGAGUGCAGGAGAGGAGAGUGGAAUUCCAUGUGUAGCGGUGAAAUGCGUAGAUAUAUGGAGGAACACCAGUGGCGAAGGCGGCUCUCUGGUCUGUAACUGACGCUGAGGCACGAAAGCGUGGGGAGCAAACAGG
rnacentral:rRNA from 1 species